AAUACCGGAUAAGCCCUUCGGGGGAAAGAUUUAUCGCCAUUAGAGCGGCCCGCGUCUGAUUAGCUAGUUGGUGAGGUAAAGGCUCACCAAGGCGACGAUCAGUAGCUGGUCUGAGAGGAUGAUCAGCCACACUGGGACUGAGACACGGCCCAGACUCCUACGGGAGGCAGCAGUGGGGAAUCUUGCGCAAUGGGCGAAAGCCUGACGCAGCCAUGCCGCGUGAAUGAUGAAGGUCUUAGGAUUGUAAAAUUCUUUCACCGGGGACGAUAAUGACGGUACCCGGAGAAGUAGCCCCGGCUAACUUCGUGCCAGCAGCCGCGGUAAUACGAAGGGGGCUAGCGUUGCUCGGAAUUACUGGGCGUAAAGGGAGCGUAGGCGGAUAGUUCAGUCAGAGGUGAAAGCCCAGGGCUCAACCUUGGAAUUGCCUUUGAUACUGGCUGUCUUGAGUAUGGGAGAGGUUAGCGGA
rnacentral:rRNA from 1 species